UCGCGCUGCAGUUGCUGCAGGUCUCCUCACCUCUUUUUCUCUCGUUUUCUUUUUCUCUCUCCCUCUGUGUGCUUGGUUUUCUUUCUCUUUCGCGUCUUUCCUUCACUCUUUUAAUUUUACAGUGGUUUCUGUCUCUCUCCUCUCUUUCUCUGUCUCUCUAUCUCUGGCUCUCUGAGGUCCCGCAGUCUGGCUGGGCUCCUCAGAGCAGCAUCAUCCACAUCCACUUGAUGCACCAGCAGCGUUUUAAACUGGAUUGCGUGUAUUUCCCUGCUCACUGCUGCUGCUGCAUCACACUGAGGAGGGGGGGUGCACCAUCUACCAUGAACUCGGAAGGAUUUGCUUAUUGCACAGCCAUGAAAUGAGCUCCAACUGCUGCCAGUGAUGGAGCUGAUGGUUGAACUCAUCCUGGGCUGAUUGAUUGAAUGGUGGGAUUGUUCCUUUUUUGUUAUUAUCAUCUGGAGAGAAGACUGGAAGAGCCGAACAGCACAAACACCUUGUUGUUUUUUCAUUUCUUGCUGAAGUUGGCUUGGGUUGUGCUGUGCAUGCUCCAAACAAGUCAAAGAAGAGGAAUGGGACUGGAAACAUGUUCUGGCCAAAGGUGGGCACGGAUUGCCCCUGAGGAUUGCCCCUAAAAAGAGAGGGAUUAAUUCUUUCUUUUUAACUAUAAGAGUGAAUGAAGAGUAAAGAGUUCACACAGCAGCAGCAGAAACAGUAGCAGCAGCAACAGCAGCAGAAGGAUUUGGAAGCAUCUGGAUGGAUUUCAGGCUUGUGCUCUAAAGCCCAGCUGCUUUUAUAUCCCAGUCAAGCUGGAGAGGAGUUGGGCAUCUCUUUAUGGAAUUUUCUCCCCACUGCAUCAUCAGAGCAACCCCUGCAUGAAAUCCCUGCACUGACUCCACACUGCUGCCUCUCGCUCUCGCUCUCUUCUCUCCCUCUCUCUCUCUCUUUCUCUCUCUCUCUCUCUCUGUAACACUUCAGACCCAUCCUCGCUCUUUUCUUCCAGAAGUAUUUCCUUCUAAAUGGAAUUAGUUGAGGUUGAAGCCCGUUGUGAAAGGAACAGACAUGGUACAUGGGCGCAGUUUCCUUCACGUUGUUGCAAGUCUCCUCAUACUUGGGUUGUCUGGGGCAACGAAAAAGGAAGCAGUGAAAAACAACUCAGGGGUGCAGCCCGCCGGGCAGUGCGGAACGUGGGUGAAAAAUCCAGAGGGAGGGCUGUUCACAUCUCCCAACUACCCCAACAAAUACCCCCCAGAGAGAGAGUGCAUUUACAUCAUUGAAGCUCCCCCGAGACAGUGCAUUGAUCUCUUCUUUGACGAAAAGUAUUCAAUAGAACCUUCAUGGGAAUGUAAAUUUGACCACAUCGAAGUGCGGGACGGUCCUUUUGGCUUUUCUCCAAUAAUUGGACGCUACUGUGGCCAGCAGAGCCCCCAGUACAUCAGGUCGAGCGGACGCUACCUCUGGAUAAAAUUUGUCGCGGACGGGGAACUGGAAGCUAUCGGCUUUUCGGCAAACUACAACUUCACGGCAGAUCCUGAUUUUAAAGACAUGGGCAUCCCCAAGCCUCUGCCCUUUUGCGAGUUUGAAAUGGGUGGGCCUGAAGGUAUCAUCGAAUCCCAACAAAUCACCAAAGAUGGUAAAGCAUCUCCGACAGAGGCGGUGGAUUGCAAGUGGUUCAUCAGAGCACCCCCUCGCUCUAAGAUCUACCUGCGUUUCCUGGACUAUGAGAUGCAGAACUCUAACGAGUGUAAGCGUAAUUUUGUGGCGGUGUAUGACGGCAGCAGUUCUGUGGAGGAUCUGAAGGUGAAGUUCUGCAGUACAGUGGCGAGUGACGUUAUGCUCCUGUCUGCACUGGGAGUGGUGCGCAUGUGGGCAGAUGAGGGCAGCCGCCGCAGCCGCUUCAAAAUCCUCUUCACCACCUUCCAAGAGCCCCCCUGUGAGGCAGAUACCUUCUUCUGCCACAGCAACAUGUGCAUCAACAACUCACUGGUGUGCAAUGGAAUCCAAAACUGUGUCUACCCCUGGGAUGAAAACCACUGUAAAGAGAAAAGGAAAGCAAACCUGCUGGACAACCUGAACAACACAAACGGCACCAUCAUUGGGGUGACCUGUUGUGUGGUGCUGAUCCUGCUGGUGGUCUCUGUGGUGGUCCAGAUAAAGCAGCCACGGAAGAAGUACAUCCUGCGGCGGGACGAUUUUGACCCCACAGUGUUCCAGGAGGUGUUCCAGGAGCCGCCCCACUACGAGCUGUGCACGCUGCGGAGCGCCGCCGCGGCCUCGGCGGACCUGGCCGAGCUGGCCGAGGACCUGGAGAGCUUCCACCGGCUCCGGAGGUCAUCGUCCCGCUGCGUCCACGACCACCACUGUGGCUCCAACCAGCCGCCCGGCGCCAAGAGCGCCAACCUCAGCCCAGCGGCCCUCAUGACUGAAAUGCAGCCUCAGCCGACGAGGCCGCUGCUGCCCCCAAACACAGCCAACCGCCGCAGCAUCCUGGUGAUGAAGCACAGCUACUCUCAGGACGCCUGUGAGCUCGACGACGAGUUGGAUGAGGUCCCCACCACCAGCCACAGGCUGGCCAGACAUGAAAAGGCAGUGCAGCGGUUCUGCCUCAUUGGGUCUCUAAGCAAACAUGAAUCAGAGUACAACACAACUAGGGUGUGAGACAAUCAGACUUCUUGAAAAUAGUGCAGUCCUGGAUCAGUACGAACGAGCUUCAGAGAAAUAUGAAAACAUGGACCGGAGAUUUACAGCAGCAUGAUGGCACGGACACUGUAGUCACAGGCAUAGGGCCUACAGAACACACUGCAGAUGUAAAUGGACACAGUAGCAGAGAAAAAAAAGAGACUUUUAGAUUGAAAUUGCUUGAAAUAUCUAAAACUUGAAUUUUGGACGAGCAUUAUUUAAUCCAUUUGCCCUUUUUUUAAUUAUUCAGGCCGUUGGUUGACAUUGGACAAACACACUGUAUUAACUGUUAUUUUACUUCCAUUAUAAGAAUAAGUGUAAACAGAACUUUCCUGUUGCAUGCAUUUGUUAUUCUUCCAUAAAAAUAUGUUUUUUUGUUGUUGUUCUUUUUGUUGUUUUUACACCGGAUAAACAGUGUUGACACAGAUUAUUUACAGCCAUAUCUAUAGUCUACAUAUAUUUACCUCAGGCCAAGAGAAACAUUUUUGUCUUUUUGCAUGUCUUAUGUCUAUUUGUCAUUUCGUUUAACAAUUGAUCAUACUAAGUUAAAUCCAAGGCAUUGUGAACUAAACUAAACCCCCCUUAGAAGGCAAAUUACUGCACUAACAUAUGCAUGCUUAAAUAUUUAAAAAAGAUAAAAUAUGUGUGGCUAAGUUCAUUUUAAAAAUGUUUUAAUUAAAUUAAUUAAUUUUGCUGUAUAAUCUAUUUAAAGUGCAGGUGCAAAACACACUCAUAAACUUUUGCUACAUUUUGGUGGCACAUAAUAUUUGUACACAAAUUUUUGUAGCUGUUUGAAAGCUGGACCACCUUUAACACAGUUUAUGUAUGCAUUAAGAAAAUAAUAAACUUUGACAAGAGCCCCUUUCAUGUUUUCUUAUGCCGGCUGAGCCUAAAUCCUAAAGCGUUAGUUGGUGUCCCUGAACUGGGAUUAAUAUGAUGUCAUUGGCAUGUUGUGAAAUAAAAUAAUUAAAUAGCAAACAAAUUUGUAUAAAUUGGACUGAUGAUACUGUGAUGAUUGUCUUUUCCAAUUCCAAGGACAGAUCAUAUGCACACUGCCUCUGCUACUAACAGGCAGAUGCAUCACUGCCCUGCGUCUUUCCAUGUUUGACAGCUUAAGGGACUAACUCGUAACAUCCUCCUACAGACAGGACUGUCAGAUUCAGCGAAUAUUAAGUGGGGCAGCGUCUGCUUCUCAUCUGAUUGCCUAGGGCCUCUUGGCUUUUGGUGGACGACACUAACUUGUGUUCCUACAUUGACUUUAACCUGCUCAGCCACUGAACAGCAUUGUGGUGCCUAGAGAGUAGACAGACAUAAGUCUACAUCUCCUGACUGCAAACUGAAAUCCAGGGGCGGAUUGGGAUGUUUGGGGGUGGGGAUACUGUACUGGGAAUAGGAUGGGGAUGUUGGUUUGUUUUUUAUUCAUUUUCCAUUGUUUUAAUUUUUAUCCAUUGUGUGGGAUAUGAAACAAAUGUAAUUAUUUUUUCUCUUUUGUGACCUUUAAGAAAAGAAUCUAAAGCUAAAAUGUGAAUCUAAACUUUACUGAAUGUCAAUGCAAAUUUGUUCCUUUUCCUAAAGUAGACUUGAGCUGCACAGGCCACUGGAGUCGUGUUGUCAUUUUGUAGUCAGUGCCCACAUUAUAAACUCUAUGUAGAUUCCUCUCUCACAUAAUUAAUUUCCUAGGUUUUGGAAAAUUGUGACUUUUGUGGUAAACACACACAUUUUAAACCCUACAGAAUUUUUUCUAUGUGUAUUUUUUAUUAAAUGCCCCUGUAUCCUCUGAAUUAUACACGUUUUGCUAGUUACAGACUAAGCCUAACACUGCAACACACUGAAAAGACUUGUUUCACCAAAAUACUCCAAACAAACCAGCCAGCUUUAUCAAAUAAAGAGAGUUAAAUGUCUCUGGUAGCGAUAGAGUUUGAAUAAAAAUGUAUAUUUUACUGUAGUAAGCUCAAAAAGUAGUUGUUGACAUAAGCACUGUGCCAUGUCAGUGUGCAGGAACGUUAGCUUAGCUGUAAGCAUAGAUGUAGCAUUAAUCAGUCAUUUGUUUUGACCCAUUAGAUGUAGCAAAUGAGGAUCCAGAGACAUUUAGGGGGGAAACCUUAAAAAACCUUAAACCUCAUUCAUUUGUGUCCAAAAGAAAUUCACCUCAGCCCUGGAGUUUAUAAUAUGGGCUAACUAGCUACAGAAUUGACACAAAUCAUCUGCGGUCUACUGUUAUUAUUAUCACCUGAUAAACAGAUAUCAGUUAUUUGACCUGAUUUUCUGUGAUCUGUUUUUCAAUUUCCUAACCUCUGCCCGCUAAGUGCACAUUCACUAAAAAUUAAUUAUUAGAUUCAGAUUUGACCAAAAUCUUUAGAAACUGGUCAGCAGGUCUUGUCUAUGCAUAUUUGAAUAGAAAGAAAUGUUACUACAAUCAUAUAUAAGCUGCAAGGUAUUGAUCAAUGGUAUGAAAGUAGAUCACACAUCUUUUUUUUUCCAUAUAAAACAUGAAAUGUCUGUAUGUUCAAAACCUGCUCAUUUGCCAGAAGGUCUACUUGGGUCAGCAUUAGGUGAAUCAUAGACAAAAUGUUUUUUAAUAAAAGACAUGAAUAAUUCUGUCAAAAUUCUUGUUUCAACACUGAUUAUUAGUAUUUUUGAAUGUUUUCUUUUUUUUUAAUACAGCAAAAGUGAAAACAGAAUUAUAUUUGUUUUUAUUUUACGUAAAUUGCUUAUUUGAGACCAAGAACCAAGAAUGUUAUGGUUAGUUAUUUGUUAGUCAUUUUCUCUUAUGCAUUUGUUUGGAUUUAGCAUUUUUCUGUUUUUGGUUUUUAUUAUUAAAUACGUUGAAAGACAAUACACUCAGCACACAUGACUGCACCAUGUGAAAUAUGAGGAGAUUCAGGAGAAUACAAAUAAAACUCAUAAACUCCAAAAACAUAGAAUGGAUAGGGAAAACAAAAAUUUUAUUAAAUAACACAUAUAUUCCAUAGGAUUUCAGAAACCCUGUGUUUUUAAUCUUAAAA